rnacentral:rRNA from 1 species
ACGAGUUCACACUCGUGGCACAUAGCUCAGUAACACGUGGCCAAGCUACCCUUCAGUCAGCAAUACCCUCGGGAAACUGAGGCUAAUAGCUGAUACGAAACAGACGCUGGAAUGCACUGUAUUCCAAAGACACCGCUGAAGGAUGCGGCUGCGGCCGAUUAGGUAGACGGUGGGGUAACGGCCCACCGUGCCAGUAAUCGGUACGGGUGAUGAGAGUCAGAGCCCGGAGACGGAAUCUGAGACAAGAUUCCGGGCCCUACGGGGCGCAGCAGGCGCGAAACCUUUACACUGCACGAAAGUGCGAUAGGGGAAUCCCAAGUGCGAGGGCAUAUUAGCCCUCGCUUUUGUUGACUCUAAGGCGGUCAACGAAUAAGAGCUGGGCAAGACCGGUGCCAGCCGCCGCGGUAAUACCGGCAGCUCAAGUGAUGUCCCAUAUUAUUGGGCCUAAAGCGUCCGUAGCUGGCCGCCCAAGUCUAUCGGGAAAUCCACCUGCCCAACAGGUGGGCGUCCGGUAGAAACUGGGCGGCUUGGAACCGGAAGGCUCAGAGAGUACGUCCGGGGUAGGAGUGAAAUCCCGUAAUCCCGGACGGACUACCGAUGGCGAAAGCACUCUGAGAAGACGGCUUCGACAGUGAGGGACGAAAGCUCGGGUCUCAAACCGGAUUAGAUACCCGGGUAGUCCGAGCCGUAAACAAUGCUCGUUAGGUGUGGCACCCACUACGAGUGGGUGCUGUGCCGCAGGGAAGCCGCUAAACGAGCCGCCUGGGAAGUACGUCCGCAAGGAUGAAACU